GACGAACGCUGGCGGCGUGCUUAACACAUGCAAGUCGAGCGGUAAGGCCCUUUCGGGGGUACGCGAGCGGCGAACGGGUGAGUAACACGUGGGUGACCUGCCCCUUGCUCUGGGAUAAGCCUGGGAAACUGGGUCUAAUACCGGAUAUGACCCUAUGGCGCAUGUUGUGGGGUGGAAAGCCUUUGCGCGGCUGGGGAUGGGCCCGCGGCCUAUCAGCUUGUUGGUGGGUGAUGGCCUACCAAGGCGA
rnacentral:rRNA from 1 species